GAUGAACGCUGGCGGCGUGCCUAAUACAUGCAAGUCGAGCGAACGGACGAGAAGCUUGCUUCUCUGAUGUUAGCGGCGGACGGGUGAGUAACACGUGGAUAACCUACCUAUAAGACUGGGAUAACUUCGGGAAACCGGAGCUAAUACCGGAUAAUAUUUUGAACCGCAUGGUUCAAAAGUGAAAGACGGUCUUGCUGUCACUUAUAGAUGGAUCCGCGCUGCAUUAGCUAGUUGGUAAGGUAACGGCUUACCAAGGCAACGAUGCAUAGCCGACCUGAGAGGGGGGUCGGCACCACGGGAAAUGGGCACCGGGCCAGCCCCCUAAGGGAGGCAGAAGGAGGGAAUUUGCACCAAUGGGGGAAAGCCUGACCGAGCAAACCGGCGGGGGGGAGGAAGGUCUUCGGAUCGUAAAACCCUUUUAUUAGGGAAAAACAUAUGUGUAAGUAACCGUGCACAUCUGGAGGGGACCUAAGCAGAAGGCCCCGGUUACUUACGG
rnacentral:rRNA from 1 species